AUGCUCGCUUUGGCAGCAUAUGUACUAUAAUUGGAAUGUUACAAAAAUUAGCAUGGCUUCUGUGCAACAAUGAAACACAAAUUCCAAAGCAUUCCAUAUAUUUU